rnacentral:ncRNA from 1 species
CCGGGUAUUACGCAGACACCCGGUAACACAAGGACGAAAUCGUCCCAAGUACUGC